AUCCACCUGAGUCCCAAAUAGGACUAAACGCGCGUCCUAGAU
rfam:Schistosoma margrebowiei strain Zambia genome assembly, scaffold: SMRZ_scaffold0001611